AUAUCAAUAAGCGGAGGAAAAGAAACCAACAGGGAUUGCCCUAGUAACGGCGAGUGAAGCGGCAACAGCUCAAAUUUGAAAUCUGGCCUUGUGCCCGAGUUGUAAUUUGCAGAGGAGUACUUUUGGCGCGGCGCCUUCUAAGUUCCCUGGAACGGGACGCCACAGAGGGUGAGAGCCCCGUACCGUCGGCAGCCAAGCCUGUGUAAGGUCUCCUUCGACGAGUCGAGUAGUUUGGGAAUGCUGCUCAAAAUGGGAGGUAAAUGCCUUCUAAAGCUAAAUACCGGCCAGAGACCGAUAGCGCACAAGUAGAGUGAUCGAAAGAUGAAAAGCACUUUGAAAAGAGGGUUAAAUAGUACGUGAAAUUGUUGAAAGGGAAACGUUUGAAGUCAGUCGCGUCGGCCGAGACUCAACCUUGCUUCUGCUCGGUGCACUUCUCGGUUGACGGGUCAGCAUCAAUUUUGACCGCCGGAUAAAGGUCGGGGGAAUGUGGCAUCCUUCGGGAUGUGUUAUAGACCUCGUUCGGAUACGGCGAUUGGGAUUGAGGAACUCGGCGCUUUGCGUCCAGGAUGCUGGCAUAAUGGCUUUAAGCGA
rnacentral:rRNA from 1 species